UGGGGAAUAUUGCACAAUGGGCGAAAGCCUGAUGCAGCGACGCCGCGUGGAGGAUGAAGGUUUUCGGAUUGUAAACUCCUGUUAAGUGGGAAGAAAGACCCAUACCUAAUACGUAUGGGGGAUGACGGUACCACUAGAGAAAGCACCGGCAAACUUCGUGCCAGCAGCCGCGGUAAUACGAAGGGUGCUAGCGUUAUUCGGAAUGACUGGGCGUAAAGAGCGUACAGGCGGUUUGUUAAGUCAACUGUUAAAUCACUCAGCUUAACUGGGUAUAUGCAGAUGAAACUGGCGAACUAGAGUGCAGGAGAGAAAGGUAGAAUUCUCGGAGUAGCGGUAAAAUGCGUAGAUCUCGAGAGGAAUACCGGUUGCGAAGGCGGCCUUUUGGCCUGUUACUGACGCU
rnacentral:rRNA from 1 species